UCCCCCGUGGCGCAAUUGGCUAGCGCGUCCGACUGUUAAAACCUUUACAGGUUUCUGCGAUCGGGAGGUUGGUGGUUCAAGCCCACCCGGAGGAG